rnacentral:rRNA from 1 species
AAAGGGCGACUCUGAUGGGACUGCCGGUGGACAAACCGGAGGAAGGUGGGGAUGACGUCAAGUCCUCAUGGCCCUUAUAGGUGGGGCUACACACGUCAUACAAUGGCCGGUACAAAGGGCAGCAAACCCGCGAGGGGGAGCCAAUCCAUCAAAGCCGGUCGUAGUCCGGAUCGCAGUCUGCAACUCGACUGCGUGAAGUCGGAAUCGCCAGUAAUCGUGGAUCAGCAUGUCACGGUGAAUACGUUCCCGGGUCCUU